rnacentral:rRNA from 1 species
GAGCUGGGUUCAGAACGUCGUGAGACAGUUCGGUCCCUAUCCAUCGUGGGCGCAGGAGAUUUGAGAGGAGCUGUCCUUAGUACGAGAGGACCGGGAUGGACGCACCAAGGGUGAAUCAGUUGUCGCGCCAGCGGCACAGCUGGGUAGCCAAGUGCGGAUUGGAUAAACGCUGAAGGCAUCUAAGCGUGAAGCCAACCUCAAGAUAAGAUCUCCCAUCCGAAAGGAGUAAGACCCCAUGAAGACCACAUGGUUGAUAGGCCGGAGGUGGAAGUGCAGCAAUGUAUGAAGCUGACCGGUACUAAUAGGUCGAGGGCUUGAUCAAA